UGCCUGGGCACCCUGGGGCCACCUAGGGCCAAGGGGCGUCCCUCUAGGCCCCACCUUGGUGUACACUUGCUCCGUGCACCUAUCACGGGGCUGGCUGGGUACAGGGCCUGGCCCAGGAGAAGGGGCACAGCAUCCCUUUUCACCCUGGGAAGUGGUCUCUUCUCAUUCUUCUGGCCUGUCACCCUUCCCCCCGCAGUGAUUGAGGGCUGGUGUCUGCAAGGGAAGGACAGGUCAAGGCUGGGGCGGGGGUCUGGGAGGACUGGCCCUGACCCUCACUCUCACUCUGCCUCCUGGGUGGAGUGCACCCCGCCACAUCCAAUGGGCUGUGUGCCAGGGCCACAGUGGCUGAGCAGACAAACCUGCCCCAGGUGCCGUUUGGCCCAUCCUGGGCAGAUCGCGGGCUCGUUCACAGGCCUGACGCUCGUUCACUCUGUCCGAUGCCUCUGCAGAGUGGGCAUGGGUUGGCCUGCUCUGGCCAUGACCCCACCCACCCUGCCUGUGGCAGGCAUCCGUCCCACUCGUCCACCUGCUUGAAGCUCACGUGUACCCGACUCCUACAGCCACCUGCCCUGUCUCCCAGCAGCCAUGCCCCCGAGGGUGCCACAGCCCCUCCUCCACAAAGGCCCAGAGCAGGAGCCGGAGGCCAUUGCCAGAGCCCAGGAAUGGACUGUGCCCAUUCGGAUGGAGGGUGCAGCCUGGCCCGGGGCAGGCACAGGGGAGCUGCUCUGGGACGUCCACAGCCACGUGGUCACAGAGACCACACAGAGGACCUACACAUACCAGGCCAUCGACACGCACACCGCACGUACGGGGUUGGGCCCAGCUGGGUUAUAAGCGUGAUCCCCAUGCCUCCUGCCCAGGGCCGGGGGGCAUUUGCACAUGUGCAAAGGCC
rnacentral:lncRNA from 1 species